UACACACACAUGCAUAAUGAUUUACUCUCUUUAAAGCUUUCUUUGCUCGCCCCACUACUUGUGGAUUGUGAUCUGGGGACGAGGGUGUGUGUCACUUUAUAGCGUGGGUGAAGAAAGUUCAAUACCAAAACAACUUGAAAGGGCUUAUACUUCUAAGCUACAUAAAUAAAGCAAUCGUCAUGAUCAAAGGAACCGAACAAAGUAUAUAUCAAUCCUGAGCAAAAAUCCCACGACAAACAUGUUUCUAUUCAAUCCAAACUUUAUAUACACUCACAUAUCGGGGAAAGUCAGGGAGCGAGUCCAGGAGUUGGCUGAAGAGUAGUUUACAGAUACCUCGAAGACAGGCACAUAGUUGAUUGGUCAGAUCACCGCAGACGUCCCCCUCAAAAUAAUUAGUGUCAAUAAGCAGCUGUCUCAAGCCAAGCAAAUUCUUGUUAGACAAGACAAUGCUAAAAUUUUAAUCACGUAGCACUUUAUGUUUUCCUACUCUGAAAUCAUUAUUACAGGGUAGGAAGAGCCAGGUAAGCGUUUAAUGUUUUUCA
rnacentral:lncRNA from 1 species